UACGUAGGGUGCAAGCGUUGUCCGGAAUUAUUGGGCGUAAAGAGCUCGUAGGCGGUUUGUCGCGUCUGCUGUGAAAACCCGAGGCUCAACCUCGGGCCUGCAGUGGGUACGGGCAGACUAGAGUGCGGUGGGGGAGAUUGGAAUUCCUGGUGUAGCGGUGGAAUGCGCAGAUAUCAGGAGGAACACCAAUGGCGAAGGCAGAUCUCUGGGCCGUAACUGACGCUGAGGAGCGAAAGCAUGGGGAGCGAACAGG
rnacentral:rRNA from 1 species